GACUUAAUUUUCACCCAAAAUGGAGUUUUUGUCUCUGAAAAUUUCCCGUUCUGCAUGUUCUAUCCUUUCCCUUCCCUUCCCUUCCUUUCCCGAACAGCAAUGAAAAUUGAGUCUGUGAGUCCUCUGAUGUUAAAAAAUUUGAGUCCAGGAUCACGAGCAACAUCAAUACCACAAAUGCCAUCAUCAGCAUGUUAUUAGCUGUUGGAAUUAUUCACCAUGGAAGGUCAACGUGCUUGUCAUCUUGUGUCUCUGCCAAAUCUUACAUUAUAUUAAUUGAGGUGCCAGCCUGGGACAGAUGUGUGGCAGCAAUACUUGAAGAUUUCCGAGGCUGUGAAAUGUGUUUCUGAUGAACGGGGAGACGAAGCAAGGAUGACAAAGUUUGAACCUGAGCCAUGUCAAAUAAAUCUUCAGGGCAGCUGUA